AGUGCUGAAACUGUUGUGGGCCAGCACAGGGCCCCCAGUAUGUCUGCAAGCUGACUUCAUGCUGGCCGAUGUGUGGGGCACCUCUUGCAAACCACAUCUGGGCCACCACAGGACCGUCAUUCUUUGACAAGGAGCCCUCGACUGGCUGCGAACGGCUACUAUGAGGAUGAUAUCUUCCAGUCAUCUCCUACAAGGAGAACACAUACAGUUGUUUUUCCAUAUAGGCUCAUCGUGGGUGGAGUCGUCAUAGCGCAGCCAGCCGGAAGUCCCUUAACGUCAUUUGCGUGCGACACAAACGCAACAUAACGGAGACGAUGGUUCACCUGCUGCUCGGUCUGUGGCUUUCUGUCAGAUUCAAAGUAAUAGAAGAGUCGGAGAAAGCUGAGAGCGACGAGUCGAAACACUCAGGAGACACACAGGAGAGUUUGGGAGGCGAUGCAGCUGUAUCAAGCUGAAGACAAGAGGAUAUGAACGAGACGACAUAUGAGGAUGGCUCUCUGAUGAGACUUCAUGGGAUUUACCUCAAGCAGCAGCACAUGAGCCUGCAGUGGCACAAGGUGUAGAGGAGGAGGACAGAGAUGUACAGGAUGCACUGAUGCACUACGUGUCAUGCAAAGUUAUUCUUCUUGUUAUACUUCUGUUUUUCUGUCCCCGGACCGCUAUUGUUUUCUUUAAUGCAAUUCUGACAAACUUUUGUACCUUUUGCAGAUGUGUCUGUGCUAUUGUUUUAUUUGUGAAGGUUAGCAAGAUUACAUGACAAAUUAAACACCAAAACAUUAAAACAGCUGUUUUAAGAAUA